rnacentral:rRNA from 1 species
UAACACUGGGGGUGCAAACGUUGCUCGGAAUCAUUGGGCGUAAAGCGCGCGUAGGCGGUUACUUAAGUUGGAUGUGAAAGCCCUCGGCUUAACCGAGGAAGUGCAUCCAAAACUGAGUAGCUAGAGUACGAAAGAGGGUCGCGGAAUUCCCGGUGUAGAGGUGAAAUUCGUAGAUAUCGGGAGGAACACCGGUGGCGAAGGCGGCGACCUGGGUCGAGACUGACGCUGAGGCGCGAAAGCGUGGGGAGCAAACAGG